rnacentral:rRNA from 1 species
CCUACGGGUGGCUGCAGUGGGGGAUAUUGCACAAUGGGGGAAACCCUGAUGCAGCGAUGCCGCGUGAAUGAAGACGGCCUUCGGGUUGUAAAGUUCUGUCGCAGGGGACGAAAAUGACGGUACCCUGCAAGAAAGCUCCGGCUAACUACGUGCCAGCAGCCGCGGUAAUACGUAGGGAGCAAGCGUUGUCCGGAAUUACUGGGUGUAAAGGGAGCGUAGGCGGGAGGAUAAGUUGAAUGUGAAAUCUAUGGGCUCAACCCAUAGCUGCGUUCAAAACUGUUCUUCUUGAGUGAAGUAGAGGCAGGCGGAAUUCCUAGUGUAGCGGUGAAAUGCGUAGAUAUUAGGAGGAACACCAGCGGCGAAAGCGAUUCACUGGACUGUAACUGACACUGAGGCACGAAAGCGUGGGGAGCAAACAGGAUUAGAUACCCGAGUAGUC